AUUGAACGCUGGCGGCAGGCCUAACACAUGCAAGUCGAGCGGUAGAGAGGUGCUUGCACCUCUUGAGAGCGGCGGACGGGUGAGUAAUGCCUAGGAAUCUGCCUGGUAGUGGGGAUAACGUUCGGAAACGGACGCUAAUACCGCAUACGUCCUACGGGAGAAAGCAGGGGACCUUCGGGCCUUGCGCUAUCAGAUGAGCCUAGGUCGGAUUAGCUUGUUGGUGAGGUAAUGGCUCACCAAGGCGACGAUCCGUAACUGGUCUGAGAGGAUGAUCAGUCACACUGGAGCUGAGACACGGGCCAGACUCCUACGGGAGGCAGCAGUGGGGAAUAUUGGACAAUGGGCGAAAGCCUGAUCCAGCCAUGCCGCGUGUGUGAAGAAGGUCUUCGGAUUGUAAAGCACUUUAAGUUGGGAGGAAGGGUUGUAGAUUAAUACUCUGCAAUUUUGACGUUACCGACAGAAUAAGCACCGGCUAACUCUGUGCCAGCCGCCGCGGUAACAC
rnacentral:rRNA from 1 species